GGAAAAGGAUGUGGGAUUUCGAAGACAACCAGGAUGUUGGCUCAGAAGCAGCCAUCCAUUCAAAGAGUGCGUAAUAGCUCACUGGUCGAGAGGUCCUGCGCCGAAAAUGUCCGGGGCUGAAACGCGCCACCGAAACUAAGGAACCGAAAGGUUGGUAGAGGAGCAUUGCAUGCGGGAAGAAGCAGUACCGUAAGGAGCUGUGGACUGCAUGGAAGAGAGAAUGCCGGAAUGAGUAGCGAGAAUAAGGUGGGAAUCCUUAUGGCCGAAUAUCCAAGGUUUCCAGAGUAAAGCUGAUCUGCUCUGGGUAAGUCGGGGCCUAAGGCGAGGACGAGAGUCGUAGCCGAUGGACAACAGGUGGAGAUUCCUGUACUGCGGUAUGACAGAACUGUGGGGACACGUAAGGAAAGCGGAAGCCGGGAAUGGAAAGCCCGGUGCAAGCGGGGUACCAGUCACUUUGGCAAAUCCGGGUGGCAAUGGGAAGCCGUGAUGCGGAGCGAAAUAAAGUAGCGAAGUCCGUGAGCCAUGCGUCAAGAAAAGCCGCUAUUGUUUAUACCGUACCCGUACCGUAAACCGACACAGGUGGAUGAGGAGAGAAUCCUAAGGCCGGCGGAAGAAGCAUUGUCAAGGAACUCGGCAAAAUGGCCCCGUAACUUAGGGAUAAGGGGUGCCUGGGAAACCAGGCCGCAGAGAAUAGGCUCAAGCAACUGUUUAGCAAAAACACAGGUCUAUGCGAAACCGAAAGGUGAGGUAUAUGGGCUGACGCCUGCCCGGUGCUGGAAGGUUAAGAGGAGAGGUUAGCGGUAACGCGAAGCUUUGAAUUUAAGCCCCAGUAAACGGCGGCCGUAACUAUAACGGUCCUAAGGUAGCGAAAUUCCUUGUCGGGUAAGUUCCGACCCGCACGAAAGGCGUAAUGAUUUGAGCGCUGUCUCGACAAUGCAUCCGGUGAAAUUGAAGUACCAGUGAAGAUGCUGGUUACCUGCGCCAGGACGGAAAGACCCCAUGGAGCUUUACUCCAGUCUGGUACUGGGACUCGGUAUUGCAUGUACAGGAUAGGUGGGAGGCUAGGAGAUGGUAACGCCAGUUGCCAUGGAGCCGCUGUUGGGAUACCACCCUUGCAGUAUUGGGUUUCUAACCAGCCGCCGUGACCCGGCGGUGGGACAAUGCCAGACGGGGAGUUUGACUGGGGCGGUCGCCUCCGAAAGGGUAUCGGAGGCGCCCAAAGGUUCCCUCAGAAUGGACGGAAACCAUUCGAAGAGUGCAAAGGCAGAAGGGAGCUUGACUGCGACACCGACGGGUGGAGCAGGUACGAAAGUAGGGCUUAGUGAUCCGGUGGUAUUAAGUGGGAAUGCCAUCGCUCAACGGAUAAAAGCUACCCUGGGGAUAACAGGCUUAUCACUCCCAAGAGUUCACAUCGACGGAGUGGUUUGGCACCUCGAUGUCGGCUCAUCGCAUCCUGGGGCUGUAGUAGGUCCCAAGGGUUGGGCUGUUCGCCCAUUAAAGCGGUACGCGAGCUGGGUUCAGAACGUCGUGAGACAGUUCGGUCCCUAUCCGGCGUGGGCGUAGGAUAUCUGAGAGGAGCUGUCCUUAGUACGAGAGGACCGGGAUGGACGGGCCGCUGGUGCAUCGGUUAGACUGCCAAGUCUACGGCCGAGUAGCCAAGCCCGGAAGGGAUAAACGCUGAAGGCAUCUAAGCGUGAAGCCCCCCUUAAGAUGAGAUAUCCCAUUCGAAAGAAGUAAACCCCCUUGAAGACGACGAGGUAGAUAGGGCAGAGGUGGAAGUGCAGCAAUGCAUGGAGCUGACUGUUACUAAUCGGGUGAGGGCUUGACCAA
rnacentral:rRNA from 1 species